GAACGCUGGCGGCGUGCCUAAUACAUGCAAGUCGAACGGUCUUUCUAUGGAAGCUUGCUUCCACUGAGAAGAUAGUGGCGAACGGGUAGAGUAACACGUGGGUAACCUGCCCAUAAGAGGGGGAGUAACAUCCGGAAACGGGUGCUAAUACCGCAUAGUUUUCUUGAUCGCAUGACUGAGAAAGGAAGAUGGCCUUUGUGCUGUCGCUUAUGGAUGGACCCGCGGCGUAUUAGUUAGUUGGUGAGGUAACGGCUCACCAAGACGAUGAUACGUAGCCGACCUGAGAGGUGAUCGGCCACAUUGGGACUGAGACACGGCCCAAACUCCUACGGGAGGCAGCAGUAGGGAAUCUUCCGCAAUGGACGAAAGUCUGACGGAGCAACGCCGCGUGAGUGAAAGAAGGUUUUCGGAUCGUAAAACUCUGUUGUCAGAGAAGAACAAGUUGGAGAGUAACUGCUCCAGCCUUGACGGUAUCUGACCAGAAAGCCACGGCUAACUACGUGCCAGCCGCAGC
rnacentral:rRNA from 1 species